GAUUAAAGAUUUAUCGGUAUAGGAUGGGGAUGCGUCUGAUUAGCUUGUUGGUGAGGUAACGGCUCACCCAAGGCACCGAUCAGUAGGGGUUCUGAGAGGAAGGUCCCCCACAUUGGAACUGAGACACGGUCCAAACUCCUACGGGAGGCAGCAGUGAGGAAUAUUGGUCAAUGGACGAGAGUCUGAACCAGCCAAGUAGCGUGCAGGAUGACGGCCCUAUGGGUUGUAAACUGCUUUUGUUUGGGAAUAAUCGACAUUACGUGUAAUGUUUUGCAUGUACCAUUCGAAUAAGGACCGGCUAAUUCCGUGCCAGCAGCCGCGGUAAU
rnacentral:rRNA from 1 species